GAUGAACGCUAGCGGCAGGCUUAAUACAUGCAAGUCGUACGGGAUCCGAGGUAGCAAUACUUUGGUGAGAGUGGCGCACGGGUGCGUAACACGUAUGCAACCUACCUUUAACCGGGACACAACCUCGAGAAAUUGAGGCUAAUAUCCCAUAACACUGCGAGAUGGCAUCAUUUUGCAGUUAAAACUCCGGUGGUUAUAGAUGGGCAUGCGCGACAUUAGCUAGUUGGUGAGGUAACGGCCCACCAAGGCUACGAUGUCUAGGGGUUCUGAGAGGAUUAUCCCCCACACUGGUACUGAGACACGGACCAGACUCCUACGGGAGGCAGCAGUAAGGAAUAUUGGUCAAUGGGCGCAAGCCUGAACCAGCCAUGCCGCGUGAAGGAUGACGGCCCUAUGGGUUGUAAACUUCUUUUGUACGGGAAAAACCACCGGUCGUGUAUCGGUGCUGAUGGUACCGUAAGAAUAAGCAUCGGCUAACUCCGUGCCAGCAGCCGCGGUAA
rnacentral:rRNA from 1 species